AUGUAUGUGCUGUGCACACUGGUGUUGCUGUCUCUCCACAACCUGUUUAGGAGACCCAGGGUCUUGGAACCCUCUGUACCCAAGGCUAUCGAGGGUCCUCCUGAGCAGCACAGACCAGAGGAAGCCAAACUGGGACGCAAGAAGAGGAACAAGCACACCUUGCAUGAAGGUUCUGGACCUCUAGAGUCAUCAGGAGCCCAUGACUUUGAAAGAUGCCUAGAUGGACCCAGUAGAGCAAGUAAAAGAAGAUCCGUUCACUUGGAUAAUGUGCACAAGAGGAAGAAGAGAGCACAGCCGGUCCAGCGGUGUGGUCUGCUCGGCCCUGUGGUCAUGUACAGCACACAAAAGACCUGGGACGUCGGCCACACCCCCUGCCUGCAGGAGCUCUGGAACGAAGACCUCUCAUUGGAUGUUUCAGCAAGUUCCGUGGAUAUCCUGAUGAGUGAUGGUGAGGAGGAGAGCUCCUUCCUCUCGUUGCCUAACUCUGUCCUUCAGCGCCACUGUUUGACCUCUGACCUCUCUGAAGCGGCCACCUCAGAACAGCAGCAGCUGCUCAUACAGAUCUGUCUGUGGUGACCAGGCAGUGUUACCUGUAAAGGUGCGAUGAUUUCCAGCCUAAUGAAUCACUGAAAUACAGGAUUUUAAGACUUCAAGUAUAGCUUCAUCUCAGUGAGUCGGUAUGUGCACAUUUUUCCUGAUAUUUGAGGUUGAGUUGUUAUUUUGUUUGAUUUGCCGUUUCAGAAGUUUUCCAUAAUUGUCACGCCACUGAUCUUUUUGCUUUCAUGCUUUUCUUCUCCCCUUUUUUCCCUCUCGUUCUUUAUUUGUGUGUCUCUGUGCUGCCUUCUCACAAUUUCACCUGUACAGAAGGUAACUUUGUCCUGUUCCUGGAUGUCUGCCUAUGUCUGAUUCUUUCUUUGUGUUUAGCUGUGUGAGCUACUUUGCCUCGUUCUGACGUCAACUUCACAAAGCACACUGUACUGCAGUAAAGUCACUUAUGUGCAUAGUUCCACCCUGUUUGCUUAAAUGCGUCUGUUAGUGGUUUUGAAGUCAUCUGGGUUUCAUAAAAAAAAGUUUGUCUGUAGGAAUAGUUACUACUUGCCCAUUAAGCUUUCUUACCUGUGAAGGUAAAGGAAUAGUUUCAUUUUGUCCUCAUUUACUCUCAUUCAAAACUUGUAUGAUUUUUUUUUAAUAUUAUUCUGUUGAUCAAUUAUUUUUUAGAUGUCCUUCUCUCUGUUACUGCAAAAUCGUACAGUGGCCCCCCC
ensembl:lncRNA